AGAUAGGUGAUUAGGGAGGAGGAUAUCUAGAAACAGAUAAAUAAAACCCAUUAACAGUCGUGCAAUGUGCGCCCUCCCGCGACGUCCACGUCGGACUAGCUACCAAACAAAAAAAGUUUGUUUUGUUGAGAAGAAACAGAGAAAGAGAUUGGGAGCCUCCUCUCUCCGCAGGCAAGCCUCCUCUCCCGUGAGCCCUCUCUUGACCCGCGACUCCUCGCCGCCGCCGCCACUCACGCCGGCCGAUUCCGGCGAGUCCCGACGGCAGGUGGCAGACUGACGACCUCCCCUUUCUCUGCUCCUUCCUCCCAUCCCUCCAGAUCCGGCCUCCCGUGCUCGCUGCCGACCCUCAGCCAUUGCUAGGGUUUCGGGCGCGGCGUCCCCUCCAUCGCCACUACCCCUCCCCUCCAGUCGACGCUGAGCGUGCACAACGUGGACGAGCUGAUCGCGACGGAACCAGAGUCGCUCCAGGCCGGGGUCUGAGAUGAUGUCCAGCAGGCCGAGGGGUGGCCAUGGGAGGAGCAUCCCACAAUGAAAUCCAUUUUCUCUUUGUGUGUGUGUGUUGGAUUAGGAUUUGGAUCGAGGAAGGAGAGAUGGUGUGGGGAUGAGACGGUGGACAGAGGAAGAGGGCGGAUCUGGAUCCAGGUAGAGUGGCCAGAGGAGCAGGCCACCAUCCCUCUUUACCUUCCACCCAACACCAACGUGGUUGUUGACUGCAGAAUCUGUGGUGAUCUACACUCUGUUGGUUCUUUCAUUCAGAGGGUGCUAGAGCUGCACUUAACUUGCUAGCAUCAUCGCCUUGUUCUUCCUGGCAACGUAAGGACCACCAACUUCCAUUUGCAACUCUAGCACAAGAGUGAGGAUGGUGAGCCACAACACCACAAGGUUCUACAAAUGGUUCUCAGAGGUUUGACGGCGAUAACAUCGCGCAGUCGAGCAAGUUUUGGUCAAUGUUUCAUGGCUCAAUCAACGAAUGGUGUUAAAACAGAAAAUCUUGAAAGCAAGAUCUUAAAUGAUUCCUACCUCGAGCUUCCAUCGAACACGACUUCGGUUGUUUCUUGGUUGUUCAAGUAUGCUCGAUGGUUCUUCAUCGAGGGUUGAGAUGGACCAUGCACUGGUUACAUCUUCUCCUAUCUCUCCAUGUUCUUAAUUUUCUUAUGCAAUGAGUGCUGGAUUUAGACAACAGUUUGCGCAAUCCAUGCUUUUACAUUGAAAAUGAGAAGAUGAAAUGACGGGUUUGGACA